GAUGAACGCUGGCGGCGUGCCUAAUACAUGCAAGUCGAGCGAACAGACGAGGAGCUUGCUCCUCUGACGUUAGCGGCGGACGGGUGAGUAACACGUGGAUAACCUACCUAUAAGACUGGGAUAACUUCGGGAAACCGGAGCUAAUACCGGAUAAUAUAUUGAACCGCAUGGUUCAAUAGUGAAAGACGGUUUUGCUGUCACUUAUAGAUGGAUCCGCGCCGCAUUAGCUAGUUGGUAAGGUAACGGCUUACCAAGGCAACGAUGCGUAGCCGACCUGAGAGGGUGAUCGGCCACACUGGAACUGAGACACGGUCCAGACUCCUACGGGAGGCAGCAGUAGGGAAUCUUCCGGAAUGGGCGAAAGCCUGACGGAGCAACGCCGCGUGAGUGAUGAAGGUCUUCGGAUCGUAAAACUCUGUUAUUAGGGAAGAACAAAUGUGUAAGUAACUAUGCACGUCUUGACGGUACCUAAUCAGAAAGCCACGGCUAACUACGUG
rnacentral:rRNA from 1 species